ACCAUUUAGUGGGGAAUAACUGUUGGAAACGACAGCUAAUACCGCAUAAUAUUGCUGGAUAAUUUCCAGUAAUGAAAGGAGCUUUCAAGCUCCGCUGAUUGAUGAGGAUGCGGCGCAUUAGCUAGUUGGUAGGGUAAUGGCCUACCAAGGCAAUGAUGCGUAGCCGAUCUGAGAGGAUGAACGGCCACAUUGGGACUGAGACACGGCCCAAACUUCUACGGAAGGCAGCAGUAGGGAAUUUUUCACAAUGGGCGAAAGCCUGAUGGAGCAAUGCCGCGUGACUGAUGAAGGUCUUCGGAUUGUAAAGGUCUGUUGUAAGGGAAGAAAUGGUAAAACAGGAAAUGGUUUUAUCUAUGACGGUACCUUACCAGAAAGCCACGGCUAACUAUGUGCCAGCAGCCGCGGUAAUACAUAGGUGGCAAGCGUUAUCCGGAUUUAUUGGGCGUAAAGGGUGCGUAGACGGUUUUGCAAGUCUGAGGUUAAAUUUAGGAGCUCAACUCCUAAUCGCCUUGNAAACUACAAGACUAGAGUAUAGGAGAGGUUAGUGGAAUUCCNUGUGUAGCGGUGGAAUGUGUAGAUAUAUGGAGGAACACCAGUGGCGAA
rnacentral:rRNA from 1 species